AUUGAACGCUGGCGGCAGGCCUAACACAUGCAAGUCGAGCGGAUGAAGGGAGCUUGCUCCUGGAUUCAGCGGCGGACGGGUGAGUAAUGCCUAGGAAUCUGCCUGGUAGUGGGGGAUAACGUCCGGAAACGGGCGCUAAUACCGCAUACGUCCUGAGGGAGAAAGUGGGGGAUCUUCGGACCUCACGCUAUCAGAUGAGCCUAGGUCGGAUUAGCUAGUUGGUGGGGUAAAGGCCUACCAAGGCGACGAUCCGUAACUGGUCUGAGAGGAUGAUCAGUCACACUGGAACUGAGACACGGUCCAGACUCCUACGGGAGGCAGCAGUGGGGAAUAUUGGACAAUGGGCGAAAGCCUGAUCCAGCCAUGCCGCGUGUGUGAAGAAGGUCUUCGGAUUGUAAAGCACUUUAAGUUGGGAGGAAGGGCAGUAAGUUAAUACCUUGCUGUUUUGACGGUACCAACAGAACAAGCACCGGCUAACUUCGUG
rnacentral:rRNA from 1 species